AACGAACGCUGGCGGCAGGCCUAACACAUGCAAGUCGAGCGGACCCUUCGGGGUUAGCGGCGGACGGGUGAGUAACGCGUGGGAAUAUGCCCUUCUCUACGGAAUAGUCCUGGGAAACUGGGGGUAAUACCGUAUACGCCCUUUGGGGGGAAAGAUUUAUCGGGGAAGGUUUGGCCCGCGUUGGAUAAGGUAGUUGGUGGGGUAAUGGCCUACCAAGCCGACGAUCCAUAGCUGGUUUGAGAGGAUGAUCAGCCACACUGGGACUGAGACACGGCCCAGACUCCUACGGGAGGCAGCAGUGGGGAAUCUUAGACAAUGGGGGCAACCCUGAUCUAGCCAUGCCGCGUGAGUGAUGAAGGCCUUAGGGUUGUAAAGCUCUUUCAGCUGGGAAGAUAAUGACGGUACUAGCAGAAGAAGCCCCGGCUAACUCCGUG
rnacentral:rRNA from 1 species